UACGGAGGGUGCAAGCGUUGUCCGGAUUUAUUGGGUUUAAAGGGUGCGUAGGUGGCCUUAUAAGUCAGUGGUGAAAGCCUGCAGCUCAACUGUAGGACUGCCAUUGAUACUGUAAGGCUUGAGUAUUGAUGAGGUAGGCGGAAUUGAUAGUGUAGCGGUGAAAUGCAUAGAGAGGAUCAAGAACACCGAUUGCGAAGGCAGCUUACUAAGGAAUAACUGACACUGAGGCACGAAAGCGUGGGGAGCAAACAGG
rnacentral:rRNA from 1 species